rnacentral:rRNA from 1 species
AUCUGGUUCAGGACGAACGCUGGCGGCGUGCCUAAUACAUAGCAAGUCGAACGGUCUUUCGUAAUGGAAGCUUGCUUCCACUGAGAAGAUAGUGGCGAACGGGUGAGUAACACGUGGGUAAACCUGCCCAUAAGAGGGGGAUAACAUCCGGAAACGGGUGCUAAUACCGCAUAGUUUUCUUGAUCGCAUGAUCGGGAAGGAAAGACGGCCUUUGUGCUGUCGCUUAUGGAUGGACCCGCGGCGUAUUAGUUAGUUGGUGAGGUAACGGCUCACCAAGACGAUGAUACGUAGCCGACCUGAGAGGGUGAUCGGCCACAUUGGGACUGAGACACGGCCCAAACUCCUACGGGAGGCAGCAGUAGGGAAUCUUCCGCAAUGGACGAAAGUCUGACGGAGCAACGCCGCGUGAGUGAAGAAAAGGUUUUCGGAUCGUAAAACUCUGUUGUCAGAGAAGAACAAGUUGGAGAGUAACUGCUCCAGCCUUGACGGUAUCUGACCAGAAAGCCACGGCUAACUACGUGCCAGCAGCCGC